UACAGAGGGGGCAAGCGUUGUUCGGGAUUACUGGGCGUAAAGGGCGCGUAGGUGGCCUUCUAAGUUGAACGUGAAAUCCCUGGGCUCAACCCAGGAACUGCGUCCAAGACUGGGAGGCUUGAAUCCGGGAGAGGGAUGCGGAAUUCCAGGUGUAGCGGUGAAAUGCGUAGAUAUCUGGAGGAACACCGGUGGCGAAGGCGGCAUCCUGGACCGGUAUUGACACUGAGGCGCGAAAGCCAGGGGAGCAAACGGG
rnacentral:rRNA from 1 species